GGGCGGGUACCGAAGUGGUCAAACGGGGCUGACUGUAAAUCAGCUGGCUACCGCCUACAGAGGUUCGAAUCCUCUCCCGCCCA
rnacentral:tRNA from 1 species